UGUGGGACUUUUAAAGUUAUUUAGAUCUUGGGGAUGAAUAAGAAAGUAAGGUUUGAAGCUUAAUGAUGAUGUAUUUGUGUCAAACUGACAAGGGGUUUUGUGCAGGAUAUUUUUUGUGCAUGAUGUUUUGUGCAGGAAGAGAAACCCUGACUAAGACACACUGGCUACUAGGAACCCUGUUUCAAAGCAAAACAAAACUUAACAGAUGCAGAGGCACUCGUGCCUGGACUGGCAGAAGGUAAGCUACAGCUCGUUACUAUUAAGAAGCACACUAUGGGUGGAAAUUUAAGAUGCUAAAGAAACCUGAAACAGAGAACUGAAUGCCGAACUACAGGUAACAGCAUGUGUUAUAACCCCCGUUACCUGACAUAGCCUCCAACUCUGUACAGCACAGAGUCUGAGCGGCUCUAGUCUUGCUGGGUCCUUGGAAGCAUAUGUGUUCUUCCUUAGUAUGUUAUCUCUGUCUAUGAUAAAUUCUUCCUUUGGGGACCCAAGAACUCGAACCCUUUCUGGAAAUGUCCACAGAACCCCCAUAUCAGCCAAUAUCAAUAGGAAAUCUUUAGUUUCCGGUAAUUUGAGAAGAACCUGUAGAAGAGAAAGCCAGGAGGGAGCUACUAGUUCUAUGAACCACUCUAUCAUCCCCUGGCCCACCAGGGUUCUUUCGUAGGGCAGUCUAGAAGCAUGGCCGGCGGCGUGAGGCUAGAAAGGCUGGCAUCGCUUGCUCCUGGUUCCAUGGUAUCAUUCUGACCUAUAUUCAGGUGGUUCCUCCUGCUUUUCUUUUCUGGACACUGGAAAUGCGAGUCCGUGUGAAGAAGACUCAGAGGACAAGUGAGCCCCGAGCAUAAUCUGCUGUGUUGGAUUCCUUGGAACACCACCAGACGGUAGGAGGGGCUUCUGGAGCUCGCCCUAGAAUCAGCUGGUCAGUGGCUGUAAGUUUUCUUUAUGCGAGGGGGCGGGGUGGUGGUGGUGAACUGCAGGUUUCCUUACGGAGUGGUGGGGCGACUGGAAGGGAGGCGACACAAAGCUACUUUACUGGAUGAAGAAUGCUAAAAAUGUGUGUGAGGAAGCUGAGCGGAAGCUGAGCCUUGAGAGGUGGAAGCAUGCCCAAGGUAUGAUGGCAGGAACCUGGCCAGAGAGAGGAAGCGAAGCAGAAGCGGCAGGGAAUGUUGAGUCAUGGAUGAGCCACGGGUGAGCCUUGGGUGAGCCACGGGUGAGCCUUGGGUGAGCCUCCGGUGAGCCUCGGGUGAGCCACAGGUGAGUGUGACAAGACUUCUUGGGAGAGAGGCUUCAGUGAGCAGCUCCUCUAAUUGGUGGUGGUGGGGACAAUGACUAUUUAAACCUUUUUGGGGAGAUGGGAUGGGGUAGAGGGGUGAGUAGGGGCUAUGGGGUGAGUGUAUAUCCUUGGUUUGAGCAGGUACUGCGGAUGCCUCAUUUGCAUAACCAGGUGCUCGCUGCAUGUGACCUUAUAAGGAGAAAGGAAGUUCAACUUGUAACUUGGAGACCAGGUUAUAUGACUAAGGCCUCCAGAUUAAAGCCGAAACAGAAGUAAACCCGAAUCAGAACCCGAUAUGGACAAGACAAAAGACUACAGUGAGGCCGUACUUACAGAUGGGAAAAAAACCAGGGUCUCUGGUAAAUCCUGGAGGAGCCCACAAACAUUUUUGUUGUCCAGCCUGGCCUGAGCCUCCCUCACACAGGAGAGAAGGACAGAGAACAAGGACAUAAGAAAAUGUCAAUCCCAGAAGAUGCCCACUGAACCCCAAUAUCAGCGUCAUCAAGACCCCCUGCCUCAGCCUUCUGAGAGCUUCAGUUAUCACUGAGCACCACCGUGCUUCCUUUCCCCCACUUCAGAACCCGGGGUUUACUGCAUGCAGGGAACUAUAAACUGUAGUCUGAGAAGAGGAACCUUAAUUAAGAAGACACCUCUAUCGCGUUGGUGUGUAGGCAAGCCUGUGAGGCAUUUUCUUGAUUCUACACCCUGGAGAGUUGGUUCUGGAGUGUACAAGAAAGCGUAUAGGGCAAGCCAGAAAGCAGCAUCUCUUCUUCAGUACAGCGUACAGAUUCCUGUGCUUUGGUGACGCCGUGCUGUGCUGUUUUUAUCACAAUAGAGGACAAGCUCAUGUUCAGUGCAGAUGUGCAUGAAAUACAGAGCAUUUUGCAGCUGGACGGAUGUGAGUGCACACGCUGCCUCUAGUGCUCGGUUACAGCAUGGCCUUAUGACACAUUUAGAACAUGUAUGUGCCGCGGGUAAGUGUGGCUGACCACUGCUGGCUUUAGGAAGGAUCAGUACAAGUGGAGACUACCUGGAGGCCAGUGUUAUCGGAUGAUGUUUCCUAUGGAUCUAUGUCUAAAUGACAUCCCGUCGAGCAUGAAAUGCCUGCAGCCAGGAGGUACAAUAGCUGAGUCGAGGCACUCAAAGGCAGCUGUGCCAGCAAGCCAGCAAGCAGUUCCCUUUGUAGACGAGGUUUGGGGGAGUUGUGCCCACUGUUAUCCAUGUGCUCACCUCACCUCACUCCGGCCUCUCUUACAUUUCCCAGUAUGACUAGUUCUCAUCCUUGCUCUCUGUGCUGGGCGAGCCCCUGCUGAGAAUCCAGGGUCUGAGACUUGAGCAGGUGGCGUGCCCAAGAGGUCAGACUAAUCCAAAUGAUCAAUACUGAUGGAUGCAGAAACCCACUCCCAUGGCCUUCCCGGUUUUCUGGAAUGGCAGCGACCUGUAGUUGAGAACUGCUGUGCCUACAGCCAUCAUCUCUAAACCAGACUUUCUGAUUUCCUUCUGUGGCCAGGAGAGCAUGCGAACACUAACCUCCCCCUGCUAAUCUCAAGGGGACUGAAAGCCAGAAGAACAAGGUAACUUUAUAAGGAAACAGUGUGAAUUGACAGCAGGACUGGGUUUUUGUUUCCUGGCUCCCUGUCCCAUGUCGCUUUUUAUACAAUGUUGCAUGCUUUCCUUUGCUGCUACUGCAAAUUACCACAAGGCCCACAGUUUAAAGCAACAUAGAUGCAUUAUUGUGGGGAGCAAAGGGACCCUGAGAGGGUAUGUGCUGUUGCCAUGGGGACAGCCAUUUCAAGGACAUCCUCCUGGUGACUUAAAUUCUUGGGUAAAGCCUCCCCUCCUGGUCCAAGUUCAAACGUUGAUAGCAUGGGCAGAAAAGGUUCAUCACAGCUUCCUCCCCUGGAUAUUUAUGUCUUGAAGACUAUGUCCUUAGAGACCCUGCUCCUGUUGAAAUUCACUAACCCUGUCUCCUUGUUCAGCUGUGUAUGACAAACAUUGCCUCUUUGAUUCGGCUGUAUGCAAUGGCCCUGCCUUCUCCUUCACUAAUAUAUAAAUAAACACUCGGAGUGGGCAAGGGUUGGUGUGCGGGUUUCCUGUUCCUCCACCAGAGAACCCAGUUCACACAUCCCAGCUUCUCUGUCUACCUGUGUCCGUGUAUCUGUCAUUCCUUCCUUCAAUGCUCCAAUCAGCUUAGUCCCUGGAGCCAUGCAGGUUGCAGCACAAUAUCUAAUAGUGUGUGUGUGUGUGUGUGUAUGUGUGUGUGUGUGUGUGUGUGUGUGUGUCUCAUUUGGCUAAAACAAAGGUGUCUGCAGGGCUGUGCUCUUCUGAAGGCUUGUACAUGUUCAACCUCUGGACACCCUCGAGCCUUGGCUGAUCCAGGUCGCUCUACACCUCAUCCCCCACUCCCCUCUUGUCCCCUCUUCUGUUCUACACUUAAGGACUACAGUGAUUACAGUGAGCCCAUCUGGAUAAUCCAGGAUAAUCUCCUGUUUAAGGUCAGUUGAUUAGCAGCCUUAAUUCUCCCUUGCAACACUAUCACACAUUCACAGUUCUCAAUUAGGACGUAGGCACUCUGUCGCCAGGGCUACUAUUCUGCUGGUUGAGGACCUGAAGGAGACGUUGGUAAUAAUUGUGACAUGUGGCAGUGGGCAUAGCCUAGGUGAGUCUCAUCUGUAGCUAUAGGUCAGGGCCAGUGAGGUGGCUCAGCAGGUAAAGGUGUGAAAGGUGGAAAUUCACUGUGGAGGAAAAGAACAGGUUCCCCAAAGUUGUCCUCUGACCUCCACAUGUGCACCAUGGCAUGCCUGCCUACACUCACAGACACGUGUCACUCCCCCCCACCCCCCACCACAAC
rnacentral:sRNA from 1 species